UCUCCGUAGGUGAACCUGCGGAGGGAUCAUUACCAGAGAUGGCGGGCCUCCGUGCCCCCGUCCCCAACCCAUUGUUGACCAAAACCUUUUUGCCUCGGGGGCAGAGCGUCCGCCGCCGCCCCCGGAGGACCACCGAACGCUGUCUUUAUACGUCGGAGUAUUGAUUAAAUGAAUGAAAACUUUCAACAACGGAUCUCUUGGUUCUG
rnacentral:misc_RNA from 1 species